GAUGAACGCUGGCGGCGUGCCUAAUACAUGCAAGUCGAGCGAACAGAUGAGGAGCUUGCUCCUCUGACGUUAGCGGCGGACGGGUGAGUAACACGUGGAUAACCUACCUAUAAGACUGGGAUAACUUCGGGAAACCGGAGCUAAUACCGGAUAAUAUAUUGAACCGCAUGGUUCAAUAGUGAAAGACGGUUUUGCUGUCACUUAUAGAUGGAUCCGCGCCGCAUUAGCUAGUUGGUAAGGUAACGGCUUACCAAGGCAAUGAUGCGUAGCCGACCUGAGAGGGUGAUCGGCCACACUGGAACUGAGACACGGUCCAGACUCCUACGGGAGGCAGCAGUAGGGAAUCUUCCGCAAUGGGCGAAAGCUUGACGGAGCAACGCCGCGUGAGUGAUGAAGGUCUUCGGAUCGUAAAACUCUGUUAUUAGGGAAGAACAAAUGUGUAAGUAACUAUGCACGUCUUGACGGUACCUAAUCAGAAAGCCACGGCUAACUACGUG
rnacentral:rRNA from 1 species